AGAAGGGGGAAAGCAUAGAAUAAUGAAGAAAUCGCAGUAAUAUCAACCAUGAUAACAUUUGGCGGUCAUAUUAUUCCAUAUUUCAAAAGUAGUUUAUGUGGUCCAAGUCAUAAAAGAACUUAGUUUGUGAGCAAGAAAAUGUAGCGAAAGUCAAGAAAGCUAUUGGACGAUGAUGGAAAGAGGUGAGAACUAAGGGUGGUUAAAGUUUGCGUCACAAGGAGGCUAAUGGAUCUUCUUAUUCACCUUUUGACAAUUCUUUUUUUCUUAACUACUAUCCUCAGGAAUGUGAUGGGAGAUUAUCAUUUUGUUUGAAUGUGUUAGAAAAGGAGAUUAACUGAAUAAUGAUUUUGAAGAUUCAAAUCAGUAAAACUGCAC
rnacentral:lncRNA from 1 species